rnacentral:rRNA from 1 species
AACGAACGCUGGCGGCAGGCUUAACACAUGCAAGUCGAACGCCCUAGCAAUAGGGAGUGGCGCACGGGUGAGUAACGCGUGGGAAUGUACCGUUUAGUGGGGGAUAACCAAGGGAAACUUUGGCUAAUACCGCAUACGCCCUUCGGGGGAAAGAUUUAUCGCUAAACGAUCAGCCCGCGUGAGAUUAGGUAGUUGGUGGGGUAACGGCCUACCAAGCCGACGAUCUCUAGCUGGUCUGAGAGGAUGAUCAGCCACACUGGAACUGAGACACGGUCCAGACUCCUACGGGAGGCAGCAGUGGGGAAUAUUGGACAAUGGGGGCAACCCUGAUCCAGCCAUGCCGCGUGAGUGAUGAAGGCCUUAGGGUUGUAAAGCUCUUUUACCGAUGAAGAUAAUGACGGUAGUCGGAGAAAAAGCCCCGGCUAACUUCGUGCCAGCCGCCGCAGUAA